rnacentral:tRNA from 1 species
GGAGGGGUGACCGAGCGGCCGAAGGUGCACGAUUGGAAAUCGUGUGUACCAGAAAUGGUACCGCGGGUUCGAAUCCCGCCCUCUCCG